rnacentral:rRNA from 1 species
UUGCCAGCCCGCUCAGAAACUUAAAUGAAUUGACGGGGCCCGCACAAGCGGUGGAGUAUGUGGUUUAAUUCGAUGCAACGCGAAGAACCUUACCUGGUCUUGACAUCCCGGAGACCCUUAGGAAACUAGGGGGUGCUUCCAUCUGGAAGAAUCUGGAGACAGGUGCUGCAUGGCUGUCGUCAGCUCGUGUCGUGAGAUGUUGGGUUAAGUCCCGCAACGAGCGCAACCCUUGCCUUUAGUUGCCAGCAGUUCGGCUGGGCACUCUAAAGGGACUGCCGGUGUUAAACCGGAGGAAGGUGGGGAUGACGUCAAGUCCUCAUGGCCUUUAUGACCAGGGCUACACACGUACUACAAUGGCCGAUACAAAGGGCAGCGACACUGCGAGGUGAAGCCAAUCCCGUAAAAUCGGUCUCAGUCCGGAUUGGAGUCUGCAACUCGACUCCAUGAAGUUGGAAUCGCUAGUAAUCGUGGAUCAGCAUGCCACGGUGAAUACGUUCCCGGGCCUU